rnacentral:tRNA from 1 species
GGCUACGUAGCUCAGUUGGUAGAGCACAUCACUCAUAAUGAUGGGGUCACAGGUUCGAAUCCCGUCGUAGCCACCA